AACCUGGUUGAUCUUGCCAGUAGUCAUAUGCUUGUCUCAAAGAUUAAGCCAUGCAAGUGAAAGUAUAUGCAUAUUUUAUAUGUAGAAACUGCGAACGGCUCAUUAAAACAGUUAUAAUCUACUUGACAUUUCUACUUACAAGGAUAACUACGGAAAAGCUGUAGCUAAUACUUGCUUUAAUGCGUUUGAUUCAUUUUUGUGUCUUACGUAUGUACUUGUUAAGCCUUUAAGAGAAAAGUUUACAACUUAAGGAAUUAUAACAAAGAAGUAACACAUAAUAAGUUUACCUUAUUUAGUGUGUAUCAAUCGAGUUUCUGACCUAUCAGCUUUUGAUGUUAGGGUAUUGGCCUAACAUGGCUAUGACGGGU
rnacentral:rRNA from 1 species